GCUGGGAUACCGAAGUGGUCAUAACGGGGCGGUCUUGAAAACCGUUAGAGUGAAAGCUCACGCGGGUUCGAAUCCUGCUCCCAGCGCCA
rnacentral:tRNA from 1 species